AGGAGAGUGGAAUUCCACGUGUAGCGGUGAAAUGCGUAGAGAUGUGGAGGAACGUACCAGAUGGCGAAGGCGACUCUCUGGUCUGUAACUGACGCUGAGGCGCGAAAGCGUGGGGAGCGAACAGGAUUAGAUACCCUGGUAGUCCACGCCGUAAACGAUGAGUGCUAAGUGUUAGAGGGUUUCCGCCCUUUAGUGCUGCAGCAAACGCAUUAAGCACUCCGCCUGGGGAGUACGGUCGCAAGACUGAAACUCAAAGGAAUUGACGGGGGCCCGCACAAGCGGUGGAGCAUGUGGUUUAAUUCGAAGCAACGCGAAGAACCUUACCAGGUCUUGACAUCCUCUGACAACCCUAGAGAUAGGGCUUCCCCUUCGGGGGCAGAGUGACAGGUGGUGCAUGGUUGUCGUCAGCUCGUGUCGUGAGAUGUUGGGUUAAGUCCCGCAACGAGCGCAACCCUUGAUCUUAGUUGCCAGCAUUCAGUUGGGCACUCUAAGGUGACUGCCGGUGACAAACCGGAGGAAGGUGGGGAUGACGUCAAAUCAUCAUGCCCCUUAUGACCUGGGCUACACACGUGCUACAAUGGGCAGAACAAAGGGCAGCGAAGCCGCGAGGCUAAGCCAAUCCCACAAAUCUGUUCUCAGUUCGGAUCGCAGUCUGCAACUCGACUGCGUGAAGCUGGAAUCGCUAGUAAUCGCGGAUCAGCAUGCCGCGGUGAAUACGUUCCCCGGCCUUGUACACCACCGCCCGUCAACACCACGAGAGUUUGUAACACCCGAAGUCG
rnacentral:rRNA from 1 species